UACAGAGGGGGCAAGCGUUAUUCGGAAUUAUUGGGCGUAAAGGGCGCGUAGGCGGCUUUGCAAGUGACGGGUGAAAGCCCUCGGCUUAACCGAGGAACUGCCUGUCAGACUGUAAGGCUUGAGACCGGGAGAGGUGAGUGGAAUUCCCAGUGUAGCGGUGAAAUGCGUAGAUAUCGGAAGGAACGCCGGUGGCGAAAGCGACGCGCUGGACCUCUUCUGACGCUGAGGCGCGAAAGCCAGGGGAGCAAACGGG
rnacentral:rRNA from 1 species